UUAGCUAGUUGGUAAGGUAACGGCUUACCAAGGCGACGAUACGUAGCCGACCUGAGAGGGUGAUCGGCCACACUGGAACUGAGACACGGUCCAGACUCCUACGGGAGGCAGCAGUAGGGAAUCUUCCGCAAUGGGCGAAAGCCUGACGGAGCAACGCCGCGUGAGUGAUGAAGGGUUUCGGCUCGUAAAACUCUGUUAUUAGGGAAGAACAAACGUGUAAGUAACUGUGCACGUCUUGACGGUACCUAAUCAGAAAGCCACGGCUAACUACGUGCCAGCAGCCGCGGUAAUACGUAGGUGGCAAGCGUUAUCCGGAAUUAUUGGGCGUAAAGCGCGCGUAGGCGGUUUCUUAAGUCUGAUGUGAAAGCCCACGGCUCAACCGUGGAGGGUCAUUGGAAACUGGGAAACUUGAGUGCAGAAGAGGAAAGUGGAAUUCCAUGUGUAGCGGUGAAAUGCGCAGAGAUAUGGAGGAACACCAGUGGCGAAGGCGACUUUCUGGUCUGUAACUGACGCUGAUGUGCGAAAGCGUGGGGAUCAAACAGGAUUAGAUACCCUGGUAGUCCACGCCGUAAACGAUGAGUGCUAAGUGUUAGGGGGUUUCCGCCCCUUAG
rnacentral:rRNA from 1 species